rnacentral:rRNA from 1 species
UGGGGAAUAUUGGACAAUGGGCGCAAGCCUGAUCCAGCCAUGCCGCGUGAGUGAAGAAGGCCUUCGGGUUGUAAAGCUCUUUUACCAGGGACGAUAAUGACGGUACCUGGAGAAUAAGCCCCGGCAAACUUCGUGCCAGCAGCCGCGGUAAUACGAAGGGGGCUAGCGUUGUUCGGAAUUACUGGGCGUAAAGCGCACGUAGGCGGAUUGUUAAGUCAGAGGUGAAAUCCCGGAGCUCAACUUCGGAACUGCCUUUGAUACUGGCAAUCUAGAGUCCGGAAGAGGUUAGUGGAAUUCCCAGUGUAGAGGUGAAAUUCGUAGAUAUUGGGAAGAACACCAGUGGCGAAGGCGGCUAACUGGUCCGGUACUGACGCUGAGGUGCGAAAGCGUGGGGAGCAAACAGGAUUAGAUACCCAUGUAGUCCCUGAGCGGGCUGGCAAGGCGCAU